rnacentral:rRNA from 1 species
UACACUCCUGCGGGAGGCAGCAGUGGGGAAUUUUGGACAAUGGGCGAAAGCCUGAUCCAGCAAUGCCGCGUGAGUGAAGAAGGCCUUCGGGUUGUAAAGCUCUUUUGUCAGGGAAGAAACGGUGAGAGCUAAUAUCUCUUGCUAAUGACGGUACCUGAAGAAUAAGCACCGGCUAACUACGUGCCAGCAGCCGCGGUAAUACGUAGGGUGCAAGCGUUAAUCGGAAUUACUGGGCGUAAAGCGUGCGCAGGCGGCUUUGUAAGUCUGAUGUGAAAUCCCCGGGCUCAACCUGGGAAUUGCAUUGGAGACUGCAAGGCUAGAAUCUGGCAGAGGGGGGUAGAAUUCCACGUGUAGCAGUGAAAUGCGUAGAUAUGUGGAGGAACACCGAUGGCGAAGGCAGCCCCCUGGGUCAAGAUUGACGCUCAUGCACGAAAGCGUGGGGAGCAAACAGGAUUAGAAACCCCUGUAGUCCCAUG